GACGAACGCUGGCGGCGUGCUUAACACAUGCAAGUCGAGCGGUAAGGCCCUUUCGGGGGUACGACGAGCGGCGAACGGGUGAGUAACACGUGGGUGACCUGCCCUCAGCUCUGGGAUAAGCCCGGGAAACCGUGGGUCUAAUACUGGAUAUGACUCCACGGUGCAUGUCGUGGGGUGGAAAGCCUUGUGCGGCUGAGGAUGGGCCCGCGGCCUAUCAGCUUGUUGGUGGGGUGA
rnacentral:rRNA from 1 species